GAUGAAGAACGUAGCAAAAUGCGAUAAGUAAUGUGAAUUGCAGAAUUCAGUGAAUCAUCGAAUCUUUGAACGCACAUUGCGCCCCUUGGUAUUCCAUGGGGCAUGCCUGUUCGAGCGUCAUUUGUACCCUCAAGCUUUGCUUGGUGUUGGGCGUCUUGUCGUAUUACGACUCGCCUUAAAUACAUUGGCAGCCGGCACUUUGGCCUAGGAGCGCAGCACAUUUUGCGAUCGUAGCCCGUUGUACUGGCGUCCAUCACGAACAUUUACCACGUUUGACCUCGGAUCAGGUAGGGAUACCCGCUGAACUUAAGCAUAUCAAUAAGCGGAGGA
rnacentral:misc_RNA from 1 species